GGGUCAGUAGGUUGGUCGUGCCACCGGUACGUACUGGUCUCACUGAUUCCUCCUUCCUGAAGAACCGUAAUGCCAUUAAUUUGGUUUUGCGGGGAAACAGGACUGUUACUUUGAAACAAUUAGAGUGUUUAAAGCAAGCUAACGCUUGAAUACAUUAGCAUGGAAUAAUGAAAUAGGACGAUCGAUCCUAUUUUGUUGGUUUCUAGGAUUGUCGUA
rnacentral:rRNA from 1 species